rnacentral:rRNA from 1 species
GGUGAGUAAUGCCUAGGAAUCUGCCUGGUAGUGGGGGACACCCUUUCGAAAGGAACGCUAAUACCGCAUACGUCCUACGGGAGAAAGUGGGGGAUCUUCGGACCUCACGCUAUCAGAUGAGCCUAGGUCGGAUUAGCUAGUUGGUGAGGUAAAGGCUCACCAAGGCGACGAUCCGUAACUGGUCUGAGAGGAUGAUCAGUCACACUGGAACUGAGACACGGUCCAGACUCCUACGGGAGGUAUCAGUGGGGAAUAUUGGACAAUGGGCGAAAGCCUGAUCCAGCCAUGCCGCGUGUGUGAAGAAGGUCUUCGGAUUGUAAAGCACUUUAAGUUGGGAGCAAGGGCAGUAAGUUAAUACCUUGCUGUUUUGACGUUACCGACAGAAUAAGCACCGGCUAACUUCGUGCCAGCAG